rnacentral:tRNA from 1 species
CAUAACGUAGCUUAAACCCAAUAAAGCAUCUGGCCUACGCCCAGAAGAUUCCCUCCCCACCGGACAUUAUGA